UAAUUGGCAAAAUUUUGGUAAAUAUCUCUAGCAGACUUUUAGACAAUUUGUGGACGUAAUUUUUAUUUUUUGAUCAUGCUUAUCAUUUAGGAAGUCUUGUAAGUUAAAAUAAAGGUCAUAAUAAUGCACAAUCUGGCUGAAACCUAUAACAAUAUCUGUAUAUGUAUGUCUCUACCAAACUGUCAACUAGACUAAUUUUACAGUUUAUAUAUUUCUUUAUUCAUUGACAGUCAUAGCAACAUAAUUAACAAGCAGAAAGAUAAUAACAUUACGCUUUAAAACCAAACUACUUGACAAUUACGUUUUUACCAUAAUUAUAUUAUCUUUGUGUGUAUCUAAAAUCAGUUCAGAGAUUGAUAGUAAUACGUAAUAAUUGUCAUAUCGUCGCAGUCGAAUUCAAGUCACGUCGUGUCGCAUCCGUCACACAGAGUCCCAAAAUCUCGCCUACGUGAUUUAACUAACAUAGUACAACCAAGCCAGUUUAUAUGACAUACUUCGUCUACUGAUGCCAUCGCUGCGAAGGUAAUAUUACGUAAAAACACCAAACAUUCUUGGAGGCACCUACCAACUUUUGCUUUCGGAGGCCUUGAAGACCAAUCACUUUCCUCGAUGCUCCAUUGGCAGUAUCAAAAUGCGUAGCUUUACUACGCAUAAAAGCUAGUUGUCGUUAAAGACAGGUUUUGGCCGCUAUAAUGGCACCUGAUAGUAGGUAAUCUGACAUGGAAUGCCCUAACCUAGAUCAAAAUAUUGCGCGAAUAGUACCAUUUAGUUUCUAAACUAAAGAAAAUAUUUAGGUUUUCUUAACUUUAGAACUUACAAGCCUUAUCUAUUUUUGUUGGUAGAUGGUUGUAUAUAAAAAGAAAUUUAUGUCUGAUUUGGAAAAGAAAUCCUAAUUCAAAAUCGAUUUGAAACUAAAGAAUUUAAAAUUAGUUAUUCUUAUCAAAAAUCAGAAAGCAAAAACCACUAUUCAAAAACAAUUAAUCAUCCAACAACAGUUAAUUGAUAGAGAGCGGUAAUAGGAAAUGUAAUUAUAACUCAAUUAGAAACGUACGACAUUGACAAGUAAAAGAUGUUUGAUAGAUUUGUAAAUUAUAAUUAUUUUGAACUCAAAAUGCAUCAUCAACAGAAAAAUAUAAAUAUACAUAUUUCUUACACAGAUAUAAAAUUAAAUUAUCAGCAAACUAUAUAAAAUAAAAUUACUUAGGUACUUAUAUUCCUAUUUUAUCUUAAAGCUGAUACCGUUUCGGCAUUAUUUGGUUUGAAAUGGUAAAAAAAAUAGUAAAUAUUCUAACUUGGAUACAACAUUAAUUGAAUUCUUAAUAAUGAAGAUUGAAAAAAUACUUAAGACAUGCAUACUAUGCAAAUUCCGUCCAUUCAAUUACUAAAACCCAGAACACCAAAGAAUUCAAAUAACAAAAACAGAAUAUGAAAAGUUAAAACAAACUAAGAAUUUCUAACACGUUUUCAACAUGUGGCACGUAUUGCCAAUAUUAUGUAUCUACCGCUACUAUUAUGCAGUAAAAAGAAAAUAUAAAUUCAUAUAGGUACCUUUUUAUAAGUCUUAUAGCGACAUCUACUGAUAUUCAUGACAAUAUAAAUAUAUUAUUAUACAAAAAUAAUCUUAGAAGUACAGAAAAAUAUUCCCAAUUUUCAACUCACAAACAGACACACAACAAAAUACUAAAAUUAAUUAAUUAUAUACAGUCUAUACAAGUAACUUACAAACUAACUUAAUCUAAUUUUAGACUCCUAAAAUAAUUUAAUUUUUUAUAAAAAUAUUUCAAUUGAUUUUCAAUAAAAAGUAUUCUGAACUUAUAAGUCCAGUUUCAUUUGAAAUGUAAUUUCAAAUUGAAUUAGGUACAAUUUCCACAGAAUUUCUAAUUUCAAUUUCAAAUACAUUUAGAAUUGAAAACCAUUUUAAUAUUAGGAAGAUAGCAACGAAUAUCUAGUAUCUUUCUAAUAUUAAAGCUCAAAUAUUGGAAAUUAAUAAAGUCUUAUCGACACAAUACGGUGACAAUAACUUUUUAUUGUGCCUGGAUAUACGUAUUAACUUUUCCGAAAUAGAGGCUAAGAAAAUACAAAUUUAGACUCUUAAAAGUUAUUUCUAAGAGCAUAGAAUAUAAAUGAUACAUGUUUAUGUAAAAAAAUUGUGACUUGAGUUGUGUAAAAACCUGAUUUUGACGAAGUGCAUUCUGCUUGCAAAGGCUCUAUUAAAUAAAUAUUUGGAUAUAAACAUUUCACAAGGACGGAUACUCUCAAACUCAAAUGAGUUUAUUUAGUUCAAACUUUGAACUAACUGAAGGCUUAGCUAUUAAUUUUAUCACCUAACAUUAAAAAUUAACAUAAAGUUAAAACGGCUGUACGCUUAAACCGCAUGCCCUAGUUUUGAUAAUUCUUUACUUAGUCACAGACCACUGUGUUUCACGGUGGUUAACGAUUACUUAUCGAAUAAUAUUGAGAACAGUUAUUUAUCCUUUCUGUAAAUAGGUGUAAAUCUCACAGCCAACACUCUAAAAUAUCGAGUUCAGAGCACACAAAAGUAGUUGACGGUGUAAUAAGCAACUAAUAAGCACUUUUGAUCAAAUAAGAAGUAAAAUUAAAUUUGGAACGGCAGAACUCUUGAAUUUAGAUCGUUGGCGGUAAUUUGAAUGCCUAAAUCUUACAAACAAAAUACUACUUAGGUAGUCUAUGUAUACUAAUUUACAUUUAAAUUAUAGUAAUGAAUUAUUUUAUAUUCAAGGUUCGGCAUCAUUAUAAAUGUUAAAAGUUGCUACAAUUAUGUACAUUUAUAAUAUUACUUUUUUAUUAUUUUAUGUACCUAAGUGUAAACACACAUUAUUAAAAUGCGAC